rnacentral:lncRNA from 1 species
UGGGGAAAGAGGAUUCAUACAGUAGUCUCAAGUGAGGGUCUAAACAUUUCCCAAAUUCUCUGACCCCUAAAUAUGAAUAUCAUUUGACUUUGAAUAAUGAGCUACUCGUUCAUCUCUAUAUAAAACCUCAUGUAUCAUGACAGUUCCCUAUUGCCUUCCUGUCUGAAGUGGCUCAGGAGUAUAAAUUAUUUUAGCGAAGGUUGGCAGUAAUUUAUGCUCAAUAAAUUGACUAUAGAUCUGCUUGUUUCAGUAGGCAGCAUGGGAAGGACUUAUACAUAUUGCUAAAUUCCCUCAUUUGUUCUCGGACAGGCUACUCUCCUUCCUGGGGCUGAUCACGACUCUCAAACUGCCACAACAAGCAGCUACUCAUACACCUCAAGUAAAACUACUCUGUUUCAGCGGGGGCCCCUGGACAACGAUGAGAAAAUUGGAAGCUCUUUGGAAGAAACAUCUGAAUAUAUUAGGCCAAAUUCUGCUAUGAGUUCUCCAAAAAGAUGGCAUCAAGUCUUACUUUAAAAAAUACAACACCAACCACCCCUCUUCCCAAGCCACUCCAGACAAGUAAGACUUUCAUUACUAGCAUAUGAACAAUUCUUUUUGCCCUUCUUGGAAAGGCUAUGUGUUAGAAAAUAUGCUUGUAGAACUACCACCGCUUCUAUGCUGCAAUUAAACUUCAUGCCUGUGUGUCUAUACUGAGAAGCAAUACUUGGACUAAAACCCAGAGAAGUUGCUUAGCAUCUGAGUCUUCAUUAAGGAAACCUGUCUGACUCCAGUGGUUUUUAGCCAGGACUUUCAGCCAAGGAUUUUAAAUAUUCUUUAGAACCAGAUUGAAACCAUCAAAUAUCUUGACUAAUGUACUGGCCCAAGGUUGGUUUUCUGUCUCAUUAGCCUAAGCAAUUAAAGCUAGAGACGAUCAGCCUCACACUCUUUCACACUGUUUGCAUAACAAAGAUCUUUACGGGAACAAAAAAGCAACAAAACCUAUCCUAAUCCUGACUCAGCUACUCCAUUAUUCUCCAAGGAGCAAUUUCAGGCUUGAUUCUGGCUUUGAGUGUGAUGCUUAUAGCACAGCAUGAGGACAGCAGCUGAUUUUUCACCAGAGAAAAGUCAGACGCCUCUGCAAACCAGCACAUCAUCGAUGUUAAAUUUGAAAAGCGGUAAUAUAUAAGCAAAAUAGGCACAGCUACUUAAUAAUUUUACAGUGGCCAUGAGAAAAAGCCCCAAACCCAUUCCAUAGCACUUUAUGUGACACAGAGAAGACUGGGCU